AACGAACGCUGGCGGCAUGCCUAACACAUGCAAGUAGAACGAGACCGUCGGGUCUAGGGGCGCCCGGGUGCGUAACGCGAGGGAACCUUCCCGUGGGGUCGGAAUAACUCCCAGAGGGGGGUGCUAAUACCGGAUGAUAGCUACGACCGAAAGAUGUAUGGCCUUUGAAUGGGCCCGCGUUGGAUUAGCUAGUUGGUAGGGUAAAAGCCUACCAAGGCGACGUUCCCUAGCUGGUCUGGGAGGAUGACCAGCCACACUGGGACUGAGACACGGCCCAGACGCCCACGGGAGGCAGCAGUGGGGAAUAUUGGACAAUGGGCGAAAGCCUGAUCCAUCCAUGUCGCGUGAGUGAUGAAGGCCUUAGGGUUGUAAAGCUCUUUUACCCGGGAUGAUAAUGACAGUACCGGGAGAAUAAGCUCCGGCUAACUCCGUG
rnacentral:rRNA from 1 species